UACGUAGGUGGCAAGCGUUGUCCGGAAUUAUUGGGCGUAAAGCGCGCGCAGGCGGCUUCUUAAGUCUGAUGUGAAAUCUCGGGGCUCAACCCCGAGCGGCCAUUGGAAACUGGGAGCUUGAGUACAGAAGAGGAGAGUGGAAUUCCACGCGUAGCGGUGAAAUGCGUAGAUAUGUGGAGGAACACCAGUGGCGAAGGCGACUCUCUGGUCUGUAACUGACGCUGAGGCGCGAAAGCGUGGGGAGCAAACAGG
rnacentral:rRNA from 1 species